rnacentral:rRNA from 1 species
GACGAACGCUGGCGGCGCGCCUAACACAUGCAAGUCGAACGGAGUCAAGAGGAGCUUGCUUUUCUUGACUUAGUGGCGAACGGGUGAGUAACGCGUGAGUAACCUGCCCUGGAGUGGGGGACAACAGUUGGAAGCGACUGCUAAUACCGCAUAAGCCCACGGAUCUGCAUGGAUCUGCGGGAAAAGGAUUUAUUCGCUCUAGGAUGGACUCGCGUCCAAUUAGCUAGUUGGUGAGGUAACGGCCCACCAAGGCGACGAUUGGUAGCCGGACUGAGAGGUUGAACGGCCACAUUGGGACUGAGACACGGCCCAGACUCCUACGGGAGGCAGCAGUGGGGGAUAUUGCACAAUGGGGGAAACCCUGAUGCAGCGACGCCGCGUGGAGGAAGAAGGUUUUCGGAUUGUAAACUCCUGUCGUUAGGGACGAUAAUGACGGUACCUAACAAGAAAGCACCAGCUAACUACGUG